GAAUCUUCAAGAUUAUCUUGGAUGAGCUACAAUUUCUUGUGGGAUCAUUCUCUUUUCAUGUAUAGUACAUUUGAGACAUUUCUGCAUCAAUCCUAAUAAAUGGCCCAUGAGAAUUAUUGUUUUUUGUUUGUUUGUUUGUUUUUUUGUUUGCUUGUUUUCUGUCUAGUCCCUAGCAGAUUUAGAACCCGAAUCACCUCAGAACUUUACCGGAUAGUUUACUGUGAUAUCACAACUGUGACCUAGAACUGAUAGGCCAAUGACACACAGGAGAAAAACACAGUUACUUUUUGAGUCAGAGAGGCUCGGUACUAGCAGAAAAAUAUGGAGAAGCUUUGUUUUAUCAGAGUUCCAAUAUGGCCAUGCUGUUGAAAGGAAAGCACUGAAUACACAGCUCAUUUAUCAAGGCAAAAGUGUUUAACUAUGACCUUAAGCACAUGCUGCUGCUUGUUAGUUUAACUGAAGCUACACAAACAUGAUAAAAGGUAACUGACCUUUAUUCUGUGCUCUAGGUAUCUGUUUGAUGAUGAUCUCACUUUGUCCAGAGGUUUAGCAAGUGUUUAUUUUUUAACUAACUCUCUGAUUACAUGAUUCUCUUUUCCUGACUGUCUUCCUUCAUCAUAUGAUACAGCUUUUUCUUAAGUCUCUGACAUUUCAAGUGAGGGUCACUGUAUUUAUGCAGUGCCAAGAACUAGGAACAGUCUUAUGUGUUGAGUGUGCUCUUCCCCAUUGUUCUGCAAAUUAGUCAACAUGAAACCAGAUAGUGAUAAUGUGUUGUUAUGAUUAAGGUUAAUAAGCUACUGAUUAUCUCCAUAGACUACAGUUCCAGACACAUUAUUUAAAUGGACUGUUUUGUUGGAGUAGUUGAUAAAAGAGCAAAAUUUUCCCUUGUUGCGUUAAAAGAUGUUAUAAAUCUGUAGAGGAAUAAGGAAACAUUACACAACAAGAACAGUUUACUAUGUCCAGUAUAUUAUAUUAUAUUAUAUUAUAUUAUAUUAUAUUAUAUUAUAUUAUAUUCAUUUUAUGAUUAGUACACUGUAGCUCCAUGAAAUAUUGUCGAGUAACAAAAAGAUGCUCUUCUAUGUCUCAAAGUUUAAACCACCCAACAAAAAGCCUGUCUUAAGUGAACUAUUGUUACAUUUCUGAUGCAUGCAAGAAGUUUAAGAAACUAUGUCAUUCAUUUAACCUCAGUUUCUAAACUUGAUCAACUUGCAAGGCCACUAGUUGAAUGUAAUUUAUUUUGUUUUUCCCCAUUUCCCCAGGAAAAAAAAAAUCCCUAGAAAAAAAAAAAAGUAUUUUCCAUCAUUUCAUCUCCAUCAAUUAAUUUAAAAUGAAAAUGAAAAACAAACAAACAAACAAACUAGAAUUUGAUUAAUAUAAGAAAAAAUACAAAACUUUAUUUAAAGAAAAAAAAAGAACAC
rnacentral:lncRNA from 1 species